CUCCUCCUCUCCGGAGCCCGGCUGGGGCAGCGCCCACCCACCUCCGAGCGGCCCCGGAGAGGCUGAGCCUCCCACGCGGGGAGGGACGGGGUAAACUGAGGCAUAGUGACUUGUGCAAGGUCAGCUGGAGAGCGAUGGAAGGACCCCAGGAAUUCUAGAACCUCCGUGCUGCUAACUGUCAUAAUUUUUUGCCCCCUUCCCGAAACCAGACCACUGGUGACACGAGCACCUUCUCUGCAGCUUCAAGCCUAUGAGCA